rnacentral:rRNA from 1 species
ACUGCUCAGUAACACGUGGAUAACCUGCCCUAAGGAAGGGGAUACCCCCGGGAAACUGGGGAUAAUACCCUAUAGGUUACAGAUGCUGGAAUGCUCUGUAACCGAAAGUUCCGGCGCCCUAGGAUGGAUCUGCGGCCGAUUAGGUUGUUGUCGGGGUAACGGCCCAACAAGCCAGUAAUCGGUACGGGUUGUGGGAGCAAGAGCCCGGAGUUGGAUUCUGAGACACGAAUCCAGGCCCUACGGGGCGCAGCAGGCGCGAAAACUUUACAAUGCGGGCAACCGUGAUAAGGGAACCUCGAGUGCCUGUAUAUGCAGGCUGUCUGGGUGUCUAAAACACACCUAAAGAAAGGGCCGGGCAAGACCGGUGCCAGCCGCCGCGGUAAUACCGGCGGCUCGAGUGGUGGCCACUUUUAUUGGGCUUAAAGCGUUCGUAGCUGGGUUAUUAAGUCCCUUGGGAAAUCCGACGGCUUAACCGUCGGGCGUCUAAGGGAUACUGGUAAUCUUGGAACCGGGAGAGGUGAGGGGUACUUCGGGGGUAGGAGUGAAAUCCUGUAAUCCUCGAGGGACCACCUGUGGCGAAGGCGCCUCACCAGAACGGCUUCGACAGUGAGGGACGAAAGCUGGGGGAGCAAACCGGAUUAGAUACCCGGGUAGUCCCAGCCGUAAACGAUGUGCGUUAGGUGUAUCGGUGACCACGAGUCACCGAGGUGCCGAAAGGAAACCGUGAAACGUACCGCCUGGGAGUACGGUCGCAGGCUGAAACUUAAAGGAAUUGGCGGGGGAGCACA